rnacentral:lncRNA from 1 species
CAGAGACCUGCACUUGAAGCUGAUUCUGUUUUGUUCAAAUGAAACCCAGAUUCCAGAUACACCCUCUACUGCACAGAGUUUUCUCCUCUGUGCUCAUCAUUACUUCCAGGACCUGGAGACAUCAUGCUAAACAGCACCACGUAUUGAAGUACUGCACAGCCCUAACAUUGGGAAUGAGGACUCUGGAGGACACGUACUUGAGACCACGGAGAAGAGAGUGUCCAGCGAGCAGGCCUUGCCAGCAGGAGGUAACUAACGGCAGGUGGGCUGUGGAGCAGAGCUGAGCGGAAGCCAAGA